rfam:Bombyx mori DNA, contig: Bm_scaf112_contig37441, strain: p50T/Dazao, build 2, whole genome shotgun sequence.
UUACAGUUACGGCGACAUGGUCCCGGGCACCAUCGCGGGCAAGAUCGUGGGUGGAGUAUGCUCGCUGUCCGGAGUGCUGGUCAUUGCUCUACCGGUACCGGUUAUCGUCUCCAAC